rnacentral:lncRNA from 1 species
CUCCUAAAGUUUCCUUCUCUCUUUGUUUGAAUGUAAGAAUUUCGAUUCUAAGGUCAGCGAUUCAAAAAAGUGGGAAGAAAGCGAGAUAAAAGUUGUCCCGAAGUUCAUCCAAUUUCCAUUAAUGCCUCCUACAGAAUGAGCAUUCCACUUUUUUGCUCUUCCCAAAAGGGAGAAUGGAAAUAAUUUCCAUUUAAGGGUUUCUUGUGUCAUGCCGGAAAUAGAUCGGCAAGAGCACAACUGCUUGAAUUCUCUAAGGUGGGUGUAU